GACCACGUGGCCUAAUGGAUAAAGCAUCAGACUUCGAAUCAGAAGAUUGAGGGUUCGAGUCCCUUCGAGGUUU
rnacentral:tRNA from 1 species